rnacentral:tRNA from 1 species
ACCUAAGUGGUGAAAUUGGCAUACACGUUAGAUUUAGAAUCUAGUUCCUCAGGGAUUAGGGGUUCAAGUCCCCUCUUAGGUA